rnacentral:rRNA from 1 species
UACGUAGGGUGCGAGCGUUAAUCGGAAUUACUGGGCGUAAAGCGUGCGCAGGCGGUGAUGUAAGACCGAUGUGAAAUCCCCGGGCUUAACCUGGGAACUGCAUUGGUGACUGCAUUGCUGGAGUAUGGCAGAGGGGGGUGGAAUUCCACGUGUAGCAGUGAAAUGCGUAGAUAUGCGGAGGAACACCGAUGGCGAAGGCAAUCCCCUGGACCUGUACUGACGCUCAUGCACGAAAGCGUGGGGAGCAAACAGG